UGAACAUACCAUAUCGUUGCCUCGGCGGUGCCCGUUUCGGCGGCCCGCCAGAGGACCCAAACCCUGUAUUAAAGUAUUCUUCUGAGUAAAUGAUUAAAUCAAUCAAAACUUUCAACAACGGAUCUCUUGGCUCUGGCAUCGAUGAAGAACGCAGCGAAAUGCGAUAAGUAAUGUGAAUUGCAGAAUUCAGUGAAUCAUCGAAUCUUUGAACGCACAUUGCGCCCGCCAGUAUUCUGGCGGGCAUGCCUGUCCGAGCGUCAUUUCAACCCUCAAGCCCCCGGGCUUGGUGUUGGAGACCGGCGAGCCCUCCGGGGCACGCCGCCUCCCAAAUUUAGUGGCGGUCUCGCUGUAGCUUCCUCUGCGUAGUAGCACACCUCGCACUGGGAAACAGCGUGGCCACGCCGUAAAACCCCCCACUUCUGAAAGGUUGACCUCGGAUCAGGUAGGAAUACCCGCUGAACUUAAGCAUAUCAAUAGGCCGGAGGAA
rnacentral:rRNA from 1 species